CCUGCCCCUAAAAGCAUUGCGGGUGUGGCUGCUGCGUCACAUGUGUGUCAGUAGGUGGCAGAGAGGAGAGAGGCUGUGUCUACACAGUAUUCUGACCUAUGAACAUCUGAGUGACUAGUAGCCUAGCAUU